AUUACUAGUGGGUAGCAAUAUUCGCUAGUGAGAGUGGCGCAAGGGUGCGUAACACGUGGGUAAUUUGCCGUGAAGUCUGGGAUAACUUGCUGAAAGGCGAGCUAAUACCGGAUGUGAUUACUGGAAGGCAUCUUCUGGUACUUAAAGUCGGGGACCGUAAGGCCUGACGCUUCUCGAUAAGCCCGCGGCCUAUCAGCUAGUUGGUGAGGUAACGGCUCACCAAGGCUAAGACGGGUAGCUGGUCUGAGAGGACGACCAGCCACACUGGAACUGAGACACGGUCCAGACACCUACGGGUGGCAGCAGUCGAGAAUUUUUCUCAAUGGGCGAAAGCCUGAAGGAGCGACGCCGCGUGGGGGAUGAAUGGCUUCGGCCCGUAAACCCCUGUUCAUUUGCGAUCAAACCUUACGACCUAACACGUCGUGAGCUGAUAGUAGCGGAAGAGGAAGGGACGGCUAACUCUGUGCCAGCAGCCGCGGUAAUACAGAGGUCCCAAGCGUUGUUCGGAUUCACUGGGCGUAAAGGGUGCGUAGGCGGUCGG
rnacentral:rRNA from 1 species